rnacentral:lncRNA from 1 species
AUGUUGGGUUUGUGCUUUUCUCUUCCACUCUUUCAAGUUUCAUUCAUGCCAUUAAUGGAAAUGGAAUGCAAGAUUUCUUUUUGUAAAAGGAAAAUUGCAAGUCAUUGUCAUAGCCUAAAGAGUUGUAAAUUUAGACUUACUCGUCCACAAUUCAAACCUUCUUCAGGCAUGUUUAAAACAUUCGAAUUUACUUAAUACAUGUUUAUUUAUGAUU